rnacentral:rRNA from 1 species
CCCUUAGAUGUUCUGGGCUGCACGCGCGCUACACUGACGCACGCAACAGGUGCCUGCUCCGAGAGGACUGGGUAAUCAUUUGAGUGUGCGUCGUGAUGGGGAUAGAAUAUUGUAAUUAUUACUCUUCAACGAGGAAUUCCUAGUAAGCGCCAGUCAGCAACUUGCGCUGAUUACGUCCCUGCCCUUUGUACACACCGCCCGUCGCUCCUACCGAUGGGUGAUCCGGUGAAUGAUUCGGACUUCAGCGGCUCCCCUGGGGUGCGCCGGAGAAAGUUUUGUGAACCUUAUCACUUGGAGGAAGGAGAAGUCGUAACA